rnacentral:lncRNA from 1 species
GAGAAUGCGCGGGUCGAGUGCUGUAGUUCGAUUUUUGCGUGUGUGCGUUGCUUGCGGCCUUUGUGCCUUUUUAUUCUUUGCUUACCUUUAUGAUAUAAAGACCUUAUUUCUUACAAGGAGGAAAAGACCGCUGACUUCAGAAACAGCGGGAACCCCAGCUCGUCCCCGGUAAUUCAAGAGGAAACGCUUGAGCAAUUACUGAUGUUGUAAACUGGGAUCAGAAGACAUACAUGGUAUCGUAUCCCAGGCAAGGCACAGUGGCUCACACCUGUAAUCCCAGCACUUUGGGAGGCUGAAGAAGGCAGAUCACUUGAGGUCAGGAGUUCGAGACCAGCCUGGCUUACAUGGUGAAACCCAUCUCUACUGAACAUACAAAAAUUAGCUGGACAUGAUGGUUAGCUGCACCUCUACUCCACGUGUUCCUCCCUUCAGGUCCCAGGCUGAUGGAGUAGCCUCUGUGUGUUUGGGAUGUUGUCAGUCAUAAUGGUGGACACAAAAGAGAUUAUGACAAACCGUGUAUUGUCUCCUACAAUUUCUGCUCACAGAAGUGGACAACAUCACUUCUUUCCACAUUUCAUUGACCAGAGCAAGUCAUGUGACCAAGCCUGAUUCAAAAUAGGCUGGAGCAAGGAGGAGCAGCAAACAUAACAUUCCCAGUUUACAGCUGAGGAAAUUAAGCUUCAAGUUGCCCAAGUUUAUAGAAUGAGUCAAUGGCAGAGGUUGAACUCAGAUGACAAAAUUGGGGUCUGGACGUGUGCAAGGACUUUUCCAAAGUCAGCUGGAAAGGAGCUGCUUAGCUGAGAGGUUCUGGCUCCAGAGUCUCCUGUGAAGUUGCAGUCAAGAUGUCUGCUGGGACCCCAGUCAUUUGAAGCCCUGUCUGGGGCAGGAGAAUCUAGGUCCAAAAUGGCCGUUGCAGGAGUCCUUAUCCACACCAUGUGGGACCUCUUCAUAGAUGUUCGAGUGUCCUCAUGGCAUGGCCACUGGCUUUCCCCAAAACAAUCAACAAAACUGAAAAAGCCCAGCCUUGUAGCAUUUGCCAGUUAUUGUGUAAAUGUCCCCACUAUGGUGGAUUUCAGGUUACCACUAUGAUAUCACAGAAUGCAGAAUUGGAAGGAGAUUCACAGCAGCACCCCAUUAUACUAUAUUUUCACCAUACAGAUGCAGUCGAUGUAAAUUACCUGAGGAGCAUAAAUAAUAAUAAAAUGAAGUUAAAUAAUUCGGAAAUGAUUUUGAAAAUUGUGUUGGUUUUUAAUGUAAGUUUAUAUGUCAGCUUUAAUAAAAUCUGUCUUUAACAACUAGCUUGAAGAAUUCUUGAAAAAUUAAUAAUCAGCUCUCAUAGGCUAGUGACAACUGGCUUCAGUGCACCCCUGACUAGAAACACCUUUGCUUUCCACCACAUGUGGAAUUCCCAGUAUUUCAACAAUCAGAAUUGAGCUUAUGAGCCAACCAAGAAAAAUAACAUCUUAUAUAAGAGACAGCAAUUUGAGAGAGGAAUAUCAGUCAGAAGAAACAAGGGGAAAGUCGAACUUGUAAAAGAGAGAUGAAAAUUUGAAUUUUUUUAAAGGCAUCCUUAAGCAUAUUUAAGUACAACACAAAAAGUUAAAGAAUUUAGUAGAUAAAUAGAAAGAUGAGAUGAUUACCACUGAGACACAGAUCAAUGAUCUGGAAGAUAAAAACAAAUCAUAAAAAUAAAAGUAUCUUGAAAUUUUGCAAAGUACAUCAUAAAUCAAUGCAUCAGAGAUUAUGUGUCAUGACAAAAAAAUUUAUACUCAGAAUGAUAUGUCACUGCUUACUAUGCAAAUAUUUUCUAUUUCUCCUAGCUUCAAACUAUGCAUAUGGGCCAGGCGCGGUAGCUCAUGCCUGUAAUCCCAACACUUUGGAAGGUCAAGGUGGGCAGAUCAUUUGAGGCCAGGAGUUUGAGACCAGCCUGGCCAACAUGGUGAAACUCCGUCUCUACUAAAAAAUACAAAAUAAUUAGCUGGGUGUCGUGGAGCAUACCUGUAAUCCCAGCUGCUCCGGAGGCUGAGGCACGAGAAUCGUCUGAACCCAGGUGAUUCUGCACUCUACUUGGGCUCUGUCUCAAAACAACAACAACAGCAACAACAAAAACUGUGGUAUUUUUAAUGAACUAAAUAUUAAUCUGCUAACACAGCAUAGGUUUUAUGAUUACUGCAAUUCAAAAGUCAUAAUAAAUUUUAAAACAAAUCCUCCUGUACCUGUUGUGGUGCAUGCAGAAACUUUUCCUGUUCAACACACUUAUAUGGCACUAUAUAGGGAUAUACCAAAUAGCUCAGGUACAUAGUGAAUACAACUUUAACACUUAUAUUGAAAUGCUAAUCUUACUUGCCAAUAUUAGUGGCACAUUAGCAUAAUUUAACUUUUAUAAAAUUAUGGAAAACAGUUUAAAAUUAUUCUCCCUAAUAUUAGCAAAUUGCAUUAAUGGCAUGUACCGUGUGCCAGUUUGUUUCCAAAUAAACAAAAUGUACCUUGAUAUGCCACUUCAGAGCCAGCAGAGGGAGCUCAUACUUUUUUAUUGUUUUCAACUUACUGAAGAAAAUUUGCUUUUAAAAGCUACUGUGUUAUAACCAAUGAGAACCAAGAAAA